GAUUUCCUAGCCUGGUACCAAAAAGAGCCAGGUUAGCACAAGAUUCAGACAUGAUGUAAUAGUGUGCCAAUUAAAUGCAAGCUGUUUGGGACCACAAAAGAGAGAGAGCCAUCAAUUUUUCCUUCCUGGAAUUCUGCAAGGCUUUUCAGAGUGUACCACAUUCAAGGAAUGGGCCAAGUUCUCAAGGCAGAGAAUCAUCUAGGUCCAUAAUCCAGAAAUAUGUCCUGUGGUUUCCUGUAGAAGAAAAGGCAGCUGAGAAAACAUAGCUAAGUAAAAGAAAGUGGAAAUGUUGAAGAACAAUGGACAUUCAGAAGAGCCUGUACUUUGCCUACAUUCACUAUUGAGGCUCUAUCCUCAGCAUGGAAGGUGGCUUCGGUUCUGGCAUCACAAAAUCAUCAGAGCAUUUCAGAUAUUACAACAAGGAGGAUGUGAACAAAGUAUGAUAAAGGAUGCAUCCAGUAGAAGCCAAGAAAUGCAGAAAGUGGUAUGGUACCAUCAGAGAUGAAUUUCUGUCUUCCAGAAAAUAGAAGCAAGAUGCUGUAUCUGUGUAGGGUAAUCAUAUAGGAAAAGCUCAAGUGAGCCUGCCAGCAAAGGAUCUCAGCUAACAGAAAAUAACAGGGAAAAAUUCUAGCAGAAAUUGAGGUCCUUAUGUAAAGGACCGCCUUAACAUUCUAAGGAGAAAAAAGGAUAUCUAAACCCAAGAUAUAUGGUGAAAAUUAAAGCACUGGGUGAAAAUAAGAAUGUCAAUCUACUCAUCUAGCCAUUCCUUCACUUCAUCUUCAUGUACCAGAUGCUGUUCAAGGGAUCUUAGAAAUUCCUUUUAGAAUUCUCCCCAAAUCAGCUCAUUAAUAUCAUGUUGUAGGCUCUCUGAAUUUUAUUGUGUUGCUUCCUUUUUAAAAUCUUAUGCCUUCCCAUCCAUGCAUAGUUUGUCUUCUAACGAAGUAAUUUAACAUAGAGAACAGAAUGAAAAAAAUACCUUAAUGAAGUAGAAGUGACUGGCAUAAGUAGAUCCACAGAUUUGUAGCCUUUAGAGCAUGCUCACAUUGGUGUUUGGGCACAGGAGAUGCUAGAGAAAGCUCCUAGCAGAGUAAACAGCUGUAAAAUUUUAUGUCAAAGCACUCUGUAAACUGCUGUUCAAGUGAAAGAUAUUAGCAUGCAGAAACAGCCAACUUUCCUUGGUUCAGAUUUUUUCUUCUCUCCUCUUACUGACAGAAUUAUUGUUCAUUCUACAAUGAAAAUCUGUCACAAUAUGACAAGCUCUAUAGGGCAUCUAGGCAUGCAAUAACAUGCCAAUGGUCAUAGUAUGAGCUUCCUUUCUGUCUCUUAUGUCAUUCUCCUCUCUGAAUAGAAUUAUAAAUUCAAGACCACAUUUAUUUGUUUUUGCUUUUGUUUGUUUUGUUUUUUUUUAACUUCUGAGGUUAGAAGGAUAUUGUUGUUUUCUUGUUCCAAGAACCUUUCAAUGAAUUCCCUGAAGAUUCAGAUUGAAUUUUCACUAUUGACUUCGG
rnacentral:lncRNA from 1 species